UGUGCAAAGGAUGUAAAGAAAGCAUCGAUAGCUCUCAAGAAAGGAGCAGAUGUAAACGUAGUAGCAAAAGAGUGGAGACGGUGUGGUGGUGUGUAUGGUCUUCCAUCGGCGUUGCAAGUAGCAUGUGCUGAUUCAUUGAUGGACUUGGUAGACUUACUGCUACAACAUUAAGUAAACAUGAACUACCAUGAGGAUGUGGGUGGAUGGACAGCUCUGCAUUAUGCUUGUCGGAAUGGUCAUUCGUUUAUUGUGGAGAAAUUGUU